GACGAACGCUGGCGGCGUGCCUAAUACAUGCAAGUAGAACGCAGAUUCGAACGGGUGAGUAACGCGUAGGUAACUUCCCUAUUGCGGGGGAUAACUUUUGGAAACGAUAGCUAAUACCGCAUACUGUGGGAUGGACCUGCGGUGUAUGAGCUAGUUGGAUGGGUUAAGGCUCACCAAGGCGCCGAUACAUAGCCGACCUGGGAGGGGGAACGGCCAACAUGGGAAUGGUAAAAGGGCCCAGUACCUAGGGGAGGGAGCAGUAGGGAAACAUCGCCAAAGGAGCGAAGUCUGAACGAGCAACGCCGCGUGGGUGAAGAAGGGUUUCGGAUCGUUAAGCUAUGUUGUUAGAGAAGCGUUACCUGAACAGAAAGGGACGGCUAACUACGUGCCAGCAGCCGCGGUAAUUC
rnacentral:rRNA from 1 species